AGAACUUUCAUAUACUUCAAGAAGAAAAUGAGUUGGCCCUUAGGACACAUGCCAGGCUGAAAAUCCCAAUACAGCUGCAACUGAACUCAGUACCAGAGGGCUCCGAUUAUACAGUUUAACAAUCUUCAUCUUUUUAACUUUUACCUCCAUCUGCAUUUCAAAAGGAAAGACUCUGAUUGUAACUUCAGUGAUUACAAGAUGAAACUUGGGGCCUCUUUCUCCUCUCACUUUCACUAAUUUAAUACCAGAGUAACUUCAUUGACUGCAGGAGAGUUACUCCUGGUUUAUAGUGGGAACGUGUGGGCAUGAGGCAGACAAUAUGGCAUGGACAGAAGGAGCAGUAAGAUGAGAUAAAAUGAGGGUGUAUACAUCAUGCAAAUUAACCCAAUUGCUUUGUGUAAUUGAGAAGAUAACGGGAUUUUCUCUCAUUGUUAGUGAGACCUCCAUUUUGGAAAUUCUACAAACAUAUUGGACUGCUCUGAGGCUCCUCCAUUUACUAACACAGCCCCUUUUAAACUUUCUAAAAUUGUUGAAGAAUAAAGAGUGGGAUUGCAGCCCUCCAAUCCACUCAUGGAGCCCUUCUGCAUGCAGGUCCCCAUCCUCCUGUUCCAGGGCACCAUUCCCCUCCUCCUCUGCACCAGUUGGAGGCCAUUGUGCAUGUCCAGGGUCAGUGCUGAGGGUGGAGGAGAGGUGAACAGGUGUGGAUAGGCAAACGGGUGAACAUUAUCUCCCCUCAAAGGCCCCUGGAGAGUCCCAGGAAAAGUACAGAGGGUAUAUAUCACAAGGCCAUGGCAGCAUCAUUCUGUUGCAGCAUAACUGUUCAAAUACAUGGUCAAUCGAUUGUUAAAUAGUCCAGCAGAUCAGUAGGUUGCUUAUAACAAUUCAUAAUGCAUUCUACUGAUAUGCUUAUAACCAUUUAUUAUACAUCCUACUCGUGUCUGUUACAUACUUACAGGAGCUGUUAAUCACUUAUUAACCCUUUAUAAACCACUGAUAAAUGAAGCCUUAAUAUAACUUGUGACUUCAAAGCUAUAUGGAGCACACAUUCCAUGUCAUUCUUCAGAUACUGCAGUGAUGAAUGCUGUAGAAAUGUCUAUAUAUAAAUAAAAUAAAAUGUGUUUGUGUGUGUGUGAGAGAGAGAGAGAGAGAGAGAGAGAGACAGACAGACAGAACAGGGGGAGUGGGGAGCUGUACUUGGUCCAUAUGUGCUAUAGAUUCCAGGUAGGGUGACCAGAUAGCAAAUGUGGAAAAUCGGGAAGGAGGUGGAGGGGUAAUAGUUGCCUAUAUAAGACAAAGUCCUAAAUAUCAGGACUGUCCCUAUAAAAUCGAGACGUCUGGUCAUCCUAAUUUCAAAUCCUAGCUCUAACAGGUUCUGCAGCACAGCGGUGGGCUGGAGCUGUGUGGUAUGAGUGAAUCCUACAGCCAGAAACCCUCUGCUCAGAUCCUUAACUGGGAAUAUCACCUUCUCAAAGGCUGGCAGUAAGUGGCUAUGUGAACAUCCAGGCUUGCCCCUUCCCCAGAGAUUGAGUCUAUGACUCAGGCUCUCCACAGUCAGGACAACCUUUGAAGGGCAGCAGGUGGGUUUUCUGCUUAGUGUGUCUGUGACGUUGCACUCUAUAUGAUUUUAUGAAAAUUCACUAAUGUAACUGGGAUAUGCUUCAUGCUAAAG